rnacentral:rRNA from 1 species
UCAUAUCCUGGGGCUGAAGAAGGUCCCAAGGGUUCGGCUGUUCGCCGAAUAAAAUGGUACCUGAGUUGAGUUUAGAACGUCGUGAGACAGUUUGGAUUCUACCUGGGGUGCGCGUAAAAGAAUUGUGAAAACCACGUCCUUGUACGAGAGGACCGGACGUGUACAACCACUGGUCGAGUAAUUGUUUUGCCGAAAGCAUUGUUACCAGGCUACGUUGUGACAGGAAAAGAACUGAAAGCAUCUCAAGUUCGAAACUUUUUUCGAGACAAAUUCUUUAAAAUGUCGUGAAAGAUUAUCACGUUAAUAGCCGAGCUGUCUAUA